UAAAAGAGAAAGCAUUAGAAUAUGUGGUAUUAUUUUGCUUGAAGAGCUUCCCAUUGUGCCGGACUAUAACAUUUCUGCAUUUAAAGUUAGUAACUGAUUAAGAAUAGUUGAAAGCAUUUUUUUUUUUCAGAUUCCUUCUUCUUUUUUCUAUCUUAUAUGCCUGAAACUUAGAGUACGAACCUGAGUAAAGGCAUGGAUAUCCUUGAUCACCUCUUGAAGUUUGUGAUUCACAAGACGGUGACGAGCUAGCGUGCUUUUCCCUUCAAACAGAGGGGAAACAAUGAUUACUUCGAAGUUCUG